AAAUGGCUUAAUUUUCUCCUUUUACUGUUUAUUUUCCAUAGGGUGAAGCUGGUCCUCCUGGUCCUGCUGGUGUUAGCGGUAGUCCUGGGGAGAGAGGAGAACCUGGUCCUCAGGGUCAUGCUGGACCACCUGGGCCUCAGGGCCCUCCUGGAAGAGCUGGAAGCCCUGGCAACAAGGGUGAAAUGGGACCCUCUGGUAUUCCUGGUGCUCCUGGUCUGCCAGGAGGUCGUGGUCUUCCAGGUCCUCCAGGUGCAAGUGGAAACCCUGGGGCGAAAGGCAGUCCGGGAGACCCUGGUAAGGAUGGUGCAAAAGGAGAACCAGGCCCAAAAGGCGAGCGUGGUGAAAACGGCACCCCAGGUGCUCCUGGGCCUCCUGGUGAGGAAGGGAAGAGAGGUGCAAAUGGUGAACCCGGGCAGAACGGAGUACCUGGUACCCCUGGAGAAAGGGUGAGUGUGCUACAUGGUCUUUUGAGCUACAACAAAGACAGAAAAUUCUGGAGGAAUU
rnacentral:lncRNA from 1 species